GACGAACGCUGGCGGCGUGCUUAACACAUGCAAGUCGAACGGAAAGGCCCUGCUUUUGUGGGGUGCUCGAGUGGCGAACGGGUGAGUAACACGUGAGUAACCUGCCCUUGACUUUGGGAUAACUUCAGGAAACUGGGGCUAAUACCGGAUAGGAGCUCCUGCUGCAUGGUGGGGGUUGGAAAGUUUCGGCGGUUGGGGAUGGACUCGCGGCUUAUCAGCUUGUUGGUGGGGUAGUGGCUUACCAAGGCUUUGACGGGUAGCCGGCCUGGGUUGGUGACCGGCCACGUUGGGACUGGGAUACGGCCCAGACUCCUACGGGAGGCAGCAGUGGGGAAUAUUGCACUAUGGGCGGAAGCCUGAUGCAGCAACGCCGCGUGCGGGAUGACGGCCUUCGGGUUGUAAACCGCUUUCGCCUGUGACGAAGCGUGAGUGACGGUAAUGGGUAAAGAAGCACCGGCUAACUACGUG
rnacentral:rRNA from 1 species